GAACGGGUGAGUAACACGUGGGUGAUCUGCCCUGCACUUUGGGAUAAGCCUGGGAAACUGGGUCUAAUACCGAAUAGGACCACGCGCUUCAUGGUGUGUGGUGGAAAGCUUUUGCGGUGUGGGAUGGGCCCGCGGCCUAUCAGCUUGUUGGUGGGGUAAUGGCCUACCAAGGCGACGACGGGUAGCCGGCCUGAGAGGGUGACCGGCCACACUGGGACUGAGAUACGGCCCAGACUCCUACGGGAGGCAGCAGUGGGGAAUAUUGCACAAUGGGCGCAAGCCUGAUGCAGCGACGCCGCGUGAGGGAUGACGGCCUUCGGGUUGUAAACCUCUUUCAAUAGGGACGAAGCGCAAGUGACGGUACCUAUAGAAGAAGCACCGGCCAACUACGUGCCAGCAGCCGCGGUAAUACGUAGGGUGCGAGCGUUGUCCGGAAUUACUGGGCGUAAAGAGCUCGUAGGUGGUUUGUCGCGUUGUUCGUGAAAACUCACAGCUUAACUGUGGGCGUGCGGGCGAUACGGGCAGACUAGAGUACUGCAGGGGAGACUGGAAUUCCUGGUGUAGCGGUGGAAUGCGCAGAUAUCAGGAGGAACACCGGUGGCGAAGGCGGGUCUCUGGGCAGUAACUGACGCUGAGGAGCGAAAGCGUGGGGAGCGAACAGGAUUAGAUACCCUGGUAGUCCACGCCGUAAACGGUGGGUACUAGGUGUGGGUUCCUUCCUUGGGGUCCGUGCCGUAGCUAACGCAUUAAGUACCCCGCCUGGGGAGUA
rnacentral:rRNA from 1 species